UAAAAUUAUAUGGAAAUAACUAAUAAUUAGAAUAACAGUAGGUAAUCCUAUUAUUGUUGUAAUGAAAGAGGCGGAUAGAUUUUCCUUCUUUUCUUUUCUCAAGGAUAGAUCUUAAGAGCACAAGUCG